CCGUCGAUAGCUCAGUUGGUAGAGCGGGAGACUGUAGAGGCUUAUACACUGACAUCUCUAGGUCGCUGGUUCGAAUCCGGCUCGACGGA
rnacentral:tRNA from 1 species